rnacentral:rRNA from 1 species
GAUGAACGCUAGCGGCAGGCCUAAUACAUGCAAGUCGAACGGUGUCUUCGGACAUAGUGGCGCACGGGUGCGUAACACGUAUGCAACCUACCUUACAUUGGGGGAUAGCCUUUCGAAAGGGAGAUUAAUACCGCAUAAGACAGUAGCUGGGCAUCCAGCAGCUGUUAAAGAUUUAUCGAUGUAAGCUGGGCAUGCGUCCAAUUAGCUAGUUGGUGAGGUAACGGCUCACCAAGGCAAUGAUUGGUAGGGGAACUGAGAGGUCAAUCCCCCACACUGGAGCUGAGAUACGGGCCAGACUCCUACGGAAGGCAGCAGUAGGGAAUAUUGGGCAAUGGACGCAAGUCUGACCCAGCCAUGCCGCGUGCAGGAUGAAGGCGUUAUGCGUUGUAAACUGCUUUUAUACAGGAAGAAACGACUCUUGCGAGAGGCAUUGACGGUACUGUAUGAAUAAGCACCGGCUAACUCCGUGCCAGCCGCCGCGGUAACAC